GUUUUUUUCUUCUUCUUUCUUUU
rnacentral:sRNA from 1 species